GCCUCUGAAAUCACCGGAGCAUACAGACUAGGAGGAAAUUUGCUUGGGGGAAAAAAAUACAGAGCUACUCAUUAGCACUGCAUUUCAAAGAAGAAUGAAGAAACAAAAAUGUGAGUUACUAUUAUUGUGGAGUAACAGAUCUAUCGAUACGAGCAAAGGGAAGCAUAAUUUUCAUAUCUAACAAUAUUUUUAAAAUGGUGAGCAUGUGUCUAUAUUCUGCCUUUAAACCAACUACUGAAGGCCUAUAUUUAUUUAACCACAGUAAGAAAAACUCUCCAAUCUGCUUCUGCUGAAAAGUGGUAAAAGUGCACACAAAGAGGAAUUUACUCAAUAGGUGCACAAGCGGAAAACUUCAAAGGGAAACAUUUGUAGGUUCAAUUUGUUCCAGAUGAUGAGAGUACCAACAUACUGGCCUGCAGCCCUGCCAAAUCAGCCCAUGCAGAAGAGAGAACGCAUCAUCAACAACAAUGAUUAACAAAGAACAUGAUCUUGCAAUGAAAUGUGCACAAGUGUCCAUCUGCACCCAACUCACUGAAGGAUCUGGGCUUAAAUUCCAAGUCCAACAUCAAAAUGUGCCCUCAAUUACACCUACAUGAUGCUAUUUUCCUCAUUGCUGGGGCAAACUGAAUAAGUAUCCUAUCUCAGAGAAAAGUGACAAGCAAUUUAAAGUCCAUGAUACUAUGUAUUGUCUGCAAAGCCGCAGCAAAGAGUGUUUCAGCAAGGAUUAGUCAGCCUGGCAUCUUCCCUUUUUACAAGAUUACAGUAUAAUACUAAGGCCUGAACGUUCUUUAGUGAAAUUCUAUUUUCAAUCCCUCAUUAAAGUUGUUAAAAAAUUUAAAAAAUCUGCUCAGGCUGAAUAUUUCCAUGUUCGAUCAUAGUGAAAGAACUAUUUUACAAAAUAACUGUUGCUGAGGUGAAUAAAAAGUGGUUUAUGUUUUCACCCAAAUGCAACUAAAAUAAACUAACUGUCCCACCACACACAUACUUUCAAUUAAAAGGAGAAAGAGCAGGUUCCAUUGUUAAGUGAUUAUGUAAUAACAAACUCUGUCACAGUGCAACACCAAGUAGAACAGAACUAUGGUUAUUGUGGGAUAAUAAUUAUUUCCUAGCCUUUGUGGAGUUUAAUGUAACCUUAAUAGUGCAUUAAAUUUCUUUUGCACUUUUUUAAAAAUAAAAUGUUGCCUCGUUAUUUCAUUGCAGAGGCCCUGUGGAGUGAGUAACCACAAGAAAAUCAGUUGUUAAGGGCUCCAUCUGCACAGUAAGGUCUACCCAGGUAGAUCCACUGAUAAGAUUU